GACGAACGCUGGCGGCGCGCCUAACACAUGCAAGUCGAGCGGAGAUACUUGAAGGAAGUUUUCGGAUGGAAUUUGAGUAUUUUAGCGGCGGACGGGUGGGUAACGCGUGAGUGACCUGCCUUCCACAGGGGGAUAACGUACCGAAAGGUACACUAAUACCGCAUGAGACCACAGCACUGCCUGGUGCAGGGGUCAAAGGAGCAAUCCGGUGGAAGAUGGACUCGCGUCCGAUUAGAUAGUUGGUGGGGUAACGGCCUACCAAGUCAGCGAUCGGUAGCCGACCUGAGAGGGUGAUCGGCCACAUUGGAACUGAGAGACGGUCCAAACUCCUACGGGAGGCAGCAGUGGGGAAUAUUGGGCAAUGGGGGAAACCCUGACCCAGCGACGCCGCGUGAGGGAAGAAGGUUUUCGGAUUGUAAACCUCUGUUCUUGGUGAAGAGGGAAAGACGGUAGCCAAGGAGGAAGCCCCGGCUAACUACGUGCCAGCAGCCGCAGUAACAC
rnacentral:rRNA from 1 species